GGGGGCGUUUUGGGAUUCGACGGGGGUGUUACGUGCAUCAGUAGCGAGCCAAGGGGCCGCGACCUUGUCUAACGCGGAGCCAAAUGUAAACGGCAAAAAACAAGAAUCUCUCGCACUGGCUGCUUAAGCUGUGCGGCUCCAUCCCGCCAUCGCCCACGUGGCGGACAUGGGGCUCAACCCUUGUGGGCUAGCCUUCCAGCCUGUUCCCGGCUGGUAGGCGAACAGAAGGGAACUCGUCUGGCGAAAGGCCUGUCACUGGGCAAUUCGCUGGAUUAAAUCGCAAUACAGUGACUGCGCUCGGAGAAGCUGGUGUGAACGUUGCCUCCGGACAGGGGUUCGACUCCCCUCGCCUCCACCA
rnacentral:tmRNA from 1 species